rnacentral:rRNA from 1 species
CAGUAGCCGCGGUAAUACGGAGGGAGCUAGCGUUGUUCGGAAUUACUGGGCGUAAAGCGCGCGUAGGCGGUUACUCAAGUCAGAGGUGAAAGCCCGGGGCUCAACCCCGGAACUGCCUUUGAAACUAGGUGACUAGAAUCUUGGAGAGGUCAGUGGAAUUCCGAGUGUAGAGGUGAAAUUCGUAGAUAUUCGGAAGAACACCAGUGGCGAAGGCGACUGACUGGACAAGUAUUGACGCUGAGGUGCGAAAGCGUGGGGAGCAAACAGGAUUAGAUACCCCGGUAGUCCCUGUCUCUUAUAU